GAUGAACGCUGGCGGCGUGCCUAAUACAUGCAAGUCGAGCGAACGGACGCGAAGCUUGCGUUUCUGAUGUUAGCGGCGCAGGGGUGAGUAACACGUGGAUAACCUACCUAUAAGACUGGGAUAACUUCGGGAAACCGGAGCUAAUCCCGGAUAAUAUUUUGAACCGCAUUGUUCAAUAGUGAGAGACGGUCUUGCUGUCUCUUCUAGAUGCAUCUGCGCUGCAUGAUUUAGUUGUUACGGUAACGGCUUACGAAGGGAAGGAUGCAUAGCCGAGUGGAGGGGGUGUACGGCGACAGUGGAGGUGAGACGCCACCCUGGCACCGAGGGGAGGCAGCGAUUGGUAAGCGUGCGAGAAGGCGAAAGCCUGACAGAGCAACGCCACGUGAGUGAUGAAGGUCUUCGGAUCGUAAAACUGUGUUACUAGGGAAAAACAGCUGUGGAAGUAACUGUACACAUCUUGACGGUACCGAAUCAGAAAGCCACGGCUAACUACGUG
rnacentral:rRNA from 1 species